UUCUAGAAUCUACCAUGAAAUGGCUAAUGCAUCUGCAGCAUAGAAUUAGAUUUAGUUAAGGACUUAAAAUUACUAGAUCUUAAAUCUAAAUCUACUACCUUUUAACUUUUAGGGCAGAAUAUUAGAUCUAGUCUAUAUGCCUAUCUAGUCACGUAACUGUAAACUAAUACUUAGACUUAGGACUUUGGACACUUUGAGUUGAAGAUAUCUACUUGGUAGUCUAAACCUCAAAGGAGCUUAGGGAAGUGAUGGCAGUUGCAGGGUAUGAACCAGACGACCAUGCAGAGACCAACGAGGCGACCAAACAGUCCAUCGUGCAUACCACAUAACCAGGUCCAGAAUGCCAGUUUUCUUUAAGGGCAGCUGACAAUAAGAAUUGUCUAUGUAUGCACUACAGAUGCUGUUCAAUAUCUUUUCAUGAGGAAGCCUGCUCAAAAAGAUCGCCACAUUUUCUUUAGGGGAAGUUGACAUUAAUCUUUUAGGUUAAUAAUAACCUAUGCAUGCAGUACAGAUGCUGUUCAUCAUCUUUUCCUAAGCAAGCCUGCUUAAGAAGCUGCUGCAUGGAAGUCAAAAUAUGAAUUAUUGCCACCAGUCUUGAAGUCAGCUUGUAAAGAAUGCUAAGAAUUGAAUGAAAAUGCUGUCUUGAUAUCUUGUUUGUGCUGUUAUAUUUGUCUUUUGUGUUGGUUAAUUAUUCCAUGAAUAAAAAAUAAAAAAAAGUUAAUUGUGUAAGUUUGAUUUAAGAAUAAAUGAUCAGAGCAUGCAAGUCUUAUAUAGUACGUUACCAAAAAUUGUAUUGUUUGAUAGUGUUCAAACCCAAAAAUGUAAUUUAACUUGUCCAUUACUUUAUAAAUAUGUUGACAUUAUAGCUAGAUGUAUAUAGAAAUCAUGCACUGAUUCAAUUAUU